rnacentral:rRNA from 1 species
UCGGGAGUAACAACCUGGAAACAGAUGCUAAUACCGGAUAACAACAGAUGAUGCCUAUCAACUGUUUAAAAGAUGGUUCUGCUAUCACUCUUGGAUGGACCCGCGGUGCAUUAGCUAGUUGGUAGGGUAACGGCCUACCAAGGCGAUGAUGCAUAGCCGAGUUGAGAGACUGAUCGGCCACAUUGGGACUGAGACACGGCCCAAACUCCUACGGGAGGCAGCAGGC